CGAUGAAGCCCCUCGGGGCGGAUUAGUGGCGAACGGGUGAGUAACACGUGGGCAAUCUGCCCUGCACUUCGGGACAAGCCCUGGAAACGGGGUCUAAUACCGGAUACCCGUUUCCGCAGGCAUCUGCGGAAACGGAAAGCUCCGGCGGUGCAGGAUGAGCCCGCGGCCUAUCAGCUGGUUGGUGAGGUAACGGCUCACCAAGGCGACGACGGGUAGCCGGCCUGAGAGGGCGACCGGCCACACUGGGACUGAGACACGGCCCAGACUCCUACGGGAGGCAGCAGUGGGGAAUAUUGCACAAUGGGCGCAAGCCUGAUGCAGCGACGCCGCGUGAGGGACGACGGCCUUCGGGUUGUAAACCUCUUUCAGCAGGGAAGAAGC
rnacentral:rRNA from 1 species